rnacentral:tRNA from 1 species
AGCCUCGUGGUGAAGAACACACCGGAUUGCAAAUCCGGAGACGUAGACUAAUAUUCUGCCGGGGCUU